UACAGAGGUCUCAAGCGUUGUUCGGAUUCAUUGGGCGUAAAGGGUGCGUAGGCGGCAGGCCAAGUCGGGAGUGAAAGCCCGGGGCUCAACCCCGGAAUGUCUUUCGAAACUGGCCAGCUGGAGUGCGGAAGAGGCAACUGGAAUUCCCAGUGUAGCGGUGAAAUGCGUAGAUAUUGGGAAGAACACCUGAGGCGAAGGCGGGUUGCUGGGCCGACACUGACGCUGAGGCGCGAAAGCCAGGGGAGCAAACGGG
rnacentral:rRNA from 1 species